rnacentral:rRNA from 1 species
GAUGAACGCUGACAGAAUGCUUAACACAUGCAAGUCUACUUGAAUUUGGGUUUUUUAACUUAGAUUUGGGUGGCGGACGGGUGAGUAACGCGUAAAGAACUUGCCUCACAGUUAGGGACAACAUUUGGAAACGAAUGCUAAUACCUGAUAUUAUGAAUAUAUGGCAUCCUAUAAUUAUGAAAGCUAUCUGCGCUGUGAGAGAGCUUUGCGUCCCAUUACCUAGUUGGAAAGGUAACGCCUCACCAAGGCGAAAAAGGGUAGCCGCCCGGAGAGGUUGACCCGUCACUAGGGAAGUGAAACGGGGCCUUUAUUCCUACGGAAGUGACCGCUGUGCUCU